rnacentral:rRNA from 1 species
AGAGUUUGAUCCUGGCUCAGAUUGAACGCUGGCGGCAUGCCUUACACAUGCAAGUCGGACGGCAGCGCGGGCUUCGGCCUGGCGGCGAGUGGCGAACGGGUGAGUAAUACAUCGGAACGUGUCCUGUAGUGGGGGAUAGCCCGGCGAAAGCCGGAUUAAUACCGCAUACGAUCUACGGAUGAAAGCGGGGGAUCGCAAGACCUCGCGCUGGAGGGGCGGCCGAUGGCGGAUUAGCUAGUUGGUGGGGUAAAGGCCUACCAAGGCGACGAUCCGUAGCUGGUCUGAGAGGACGACCAGCCACACUGGGACUGAGACACGGCCCAGACUCCUACGGGAGGCAGCAGUGGGGAAUUUUGGACAAUGGGCGCAAGCCUGAUCCAGCAAUGCCGCGUGUGUGAAGAAGGCCUUCGGGUUGUAAAGCACUUUUGUCCGGAAAGAAAUCUUCUGAGCUAAUACCUCGGGAGGAUGACGGUACCGGAAGAAUAAGCACCGGCUAACUACGUGCCAGCAGCCGCGGUAAUACGUAGGGUGCGAGCGUUAAUCGGAAUUACUGGGCGUAAAGCGUGCGCAGGCGGUGAUGUAAGACCGAUGUGAAAUCCCCGGGCUUAACCUGGGAACUGCAUUGGUGACUGCAUCGCUGGAGUAUGGCAGAGGGGGGUGGAAUUCCACGUAGCAGUGAAAUGCGUAGAGAUGUGGAGGAACACCGAUGGCGAAGGCAGCCCCCUGGGCCAAUACUGACGCUCAUGCACGAAAGCGUGGGGAGCAAACAGGAUUAGAUACCCUAGUAGUCC